rnacentral:snRNA from 1 species
AUACUCGCUUGGUGCCGGGGCCUCGUUGAUCACCGCGGAGGAGCCCCCAGGGAGAGGCGCGGGCAUUGCAGUGCGGUCGCGUUGACCUCUGCCACUACCCCAAACUGGUACACAUGAAGCAUGCAAAUUGC